rnacentral:rRNA from 1 species
UACGAAGGGGGCUAGCGUUGCUCGGAAUCACUGGGCGUAAAGCGCACGUAGGCGGCUUUCUAAGUCAGGGGUGAAAUCCUGGGCUCAACUCCAGAACUGCCUUUGAUACUGGAGAGCUUGAGUCCGGGAGAGGUGAGUGGAACUCCGAGUGUAGAGGUGAAAUUCGUAGAUAUUCGGAAGAACACCAGUGGCGAAGGCGGCUCACUGGCCCGGUACUGACGCUGAGGUGCGAAAGCGUGGGGAGCAAACAGG